rnacentral:rRNA from 1 species
GAUGAACGCUGGCGGCGUGCCUAAUACAUGCAAGUCGAGCGAACAGACGAGGAGCUUGCUCCCCUGCCGUUAGCGGCGGACGGGUGAGUAACACGUGGAUAACCUACCUAUAAGACUGGGAUAACUUCGGGAAACCGGAGCUAAUACCGGAUAAUAUAUUGAACCGCAUGGAUCAAUAGUGAAAGACGGUUUUGCUGUCACUUAUAGAUGGAUCCGCGCCGCAUUAGCUAGUUGGUAAGGUAACGGCUUACCAAGGCAACGAUGCGUAGCCGACCUGAGAGGGUGAUCGGCCACACUGGAACUGAGACACGGUCCAGACUCCUACGGGAGGCAGCAGUAGGGAAUCUUCCGCAAUGGGCGAAAGCCUGACGGAGCAACGCCGCGUGAGUGAUGAAGGUCUUCGGAUCGUAAAGCUCUGUUAUUAGGGAAGAACAAAUGUGUAAUUAACUAUGCACGUCUUGACGGUACCUAAUCAGAAAGCCACGGCUAACUACGUG